UGAGUGGCGGACGGGUGAGUAACGCGUGGGUAACCUGCCUCAUACAGAGGGAUAACAAGUUGGAAACGGCUAGCUAAUACCUCUAUAAGCGCACAGUACCGCAUGAUACGGUGUGAAAAACUCCGGUGGUAUGAGAUGGACCCGCGUCUGAUUAGCUAGGUUGGAGGGGUAACGGCCCACCAAGGCAACGAUCAGUAGCCGACUUGAGAGAGUGAUCGGCCACAUUGGGACUGAGACACGGCCCAAACUCCUACGGGAGGCAGCGAGUGGGGAAUAUUGCACAAUGGGGGGAACCCUGAAUGCAGCGACGCCGCGUGAAGGAUGAAGUAUUUCGGUAUGUAAACUUCUAUCAGCAAGGAAGAAAAUGACGGUACUUGACUAAGAAGCCCCGGCUAAAUACGUGCCAGCCGCCGC
rnacentral:rRNA from 1 species